rnacentral:rRNA from 1 species
UACGGGGGGGGCAAGCGUUGUUCGGAAUUACUGGGCGUAAAGGGCUCGUAGGCGGCCAACUAAGUCGGACGUGAAAUCCCUCGGCUUAACCGGGGAACUGCGUCCGAUACUGGAUGGCUUGAGUUCGGGAGAGGGAUGCGGAAUUCCAGGUGUAGCGGUGAAAUGCGUAGAUAUCAGGAGGAACACCGAUGGCGAAGGCAGGUCUCUGGGCCACUACUGACGCUGAGAAGCGAAAGCAUGGGGAGCGAACAGG